GCUAAUGAAAUGAAAACGUGGGAAAAGCAUUUUCGUUUUUGUGUCUGUGUAGCAAAACUGCAAUCAGAGGAUGUAAGAAAUGUCAACGAAAACACUAACAGCCGGUGUGAA